AGUCUGACGGAGCAACGCCGCGUGAGUGAUGAAGGUUUUCGGAUCGUAAAACUCUGUUGUUAGGGAAGAACAAGUACCGGAGUAACUGCCGGUACCUUGACGGUACCUAACCAGAAAGCCACGGCUAACUACGUGCCAGCAGCCGCGGUAAUACGUAGGUGGCAAGCGUUGUCCGGAAUUAUUGGGCGUAAAGCGCGCGCAGGCGGUUCCUUAAGUCUGAUGUGAAAGCCCCCGGCUCAACCGGGGAGGGUCAUUGGAAACUGGGGAACUUGAGUGCAGAAGAGAAGAGUGGAAUUCCACGUGUAGCGGUGAAAUGCGUAGAGAUGUGGAGGAACACCAGUGGCGAAGGCGACUCUUUGGUCUGUAACUGACGCUGAGGCGCGAAAGCGUGGGGAGCAAACAGGAUUAGAUACCCUGGUAGUCCACGCCGUAAACGAUGAGUGCUAAGUGUUAGAGGGUUUCCGCCCUUUAGUGCUGCAGCAAACGCAUUAAGCACUCCGCCUGGGGAGUACGGCCGCAAGGCUGAAACUCAAAGGAAUUGACGGGG
rnacentral:rRNA from 1 species